ACGGAGGAUGAUCAAGAAUAGAGAAUCGGCUGCAAGGUCCAGAGCCAGAAAACAGGCUUACACAGUUGAAUUAGAAGCAGAGCUGAGCCAACUAAAAGAAGAGAACAAGCAGCUUAGGCGUGCUCUGGCAGAGCUCGAGAGGAAAAGAAAACAGCAGCAUCUUGAAAAGUUGAGAAUGAAAGCCCAGAGCAAGGCCCAAAAGGCUAAAGAGAAAUUGAGGAUUAUGAGAAGGAAUUUUAGCUGCCUCUUCUAAUAAUACCAAGCAACGUCUGUAUAAUGCAGAAAUUUGAGGGAGGAAGCACAAAUUAAAAUUCAGAAUGCAAAAUAGAGAAAUCAAAGGGCAAACCAAGAAGAUGAUUGAGCAACAGUACUUGGAACUGAAGAGUGUUGUCAAAUUUAUGGAUCAAGAGAGAAUGAAUCUAUGUAUGUAACCUAUGAUUUUAUGAAUAGUGGAAUGUGUAAAAGUCCAGUUAACAUAUGUAGUUAUAGAAGUUAGGUUUGCUUAAAUGUAAUUCUUGUAACAUAGUAGACCAAAAUGUCCCUUGAAAUUAUAUGGGAUAUACAUGCAACAAAAGUUAUAUUCCAAUGCAAUAAUUCUGUGAAAAU
rnacentral:misc_RNA from 1 species